rnacentral:lncRNA from 1 species
AUGUUGUUUUGGAUGGAAAUAGGUCAUUGUGGAAGAAACUUCUGUUAUACUUGGUAUCUUGCUUCUCUUCGGAGCCGCAAGGGUCAGAUAGGUCAUUUUGGUAGGCAUACUUAUAUAUUUUUUUUUUCUUUAUUUUUUUUUUUUUUUUUCAGCUGGGAACCUAAAUUGUUGUGUUGUGUUGUUGUUUUUUUUUUUUGUUUUUCUUUCUGUUUUAAGGAAGAUGUGAGACUCCUGAGCAUCAAAGGUUGGAGCCUUCCCCUCUACCCCCAGCCCGGCUCACAGCGCUGCCGUGUGCCCAUGAGGCUAUGAAAAAACAGAAGUUCUAAAGGAAAGAUUUUUUUUUUCUUCCUACUGUGCUAAGCCAAGCCAGAGUCCCGUGGCUUCUUGCUCAGCCCAGGCAGUGAUGGGAUCGGGUGCUGUGGGGUGCAGAGGUGGGCUGGGGCACUGGCUUGGAACAGCUUUGCUCUGUUUUUCUCUGUGCAGCUAAGUUUGAAUGGCUGCUAGAGCUGGUCAGAAAUGGAAAAUCACUAUAGGAUGGCUUUGGGGUGGGAAUCUUUUAUGUCAGUUGUUUAUGUUCUGUGGACUUCUAAAGGGAAAAGUGGGCCUGUUUAAAAUAUAUAUAUAUAUAUAAAAAAGAAUCAGAUACACUUCUAUAAACUUGUCUAUUUUUAAAAAUAUUUCUUGAUAAUUGCUGAGAAAUGUUUUCCACUUUCAAUAGAAAUGUGAAGAAUUGUCAGAAUCAAUAGCGAUAAUGCAGAUUUACCAGUAGCUGAUACUAAACAGAGGGUUUUUUUUUUUGAGAACUCCUUCCUUUAAAAGGCUUGCACUUCAGAGGUCUGUUAAAUCAAAGCUGAUGCUCACAGAUUUCUGAUAGCAUGUUCAAAAAAAGGGCUGUUAAUAUCUCCAAAGUUGGGAUUAGCUUAAAUUUCCUACUAGGGAUUGUGGUGCAGAAAGUAAAUAAAAUAGUGAGAAAUUAAAUCUGAAAUGGAAUG